rnacentral:lncRNA from 1 species
CUUGGUGUUAAGGUUUAGUUUUUUUUAGAAACACUUUACUGACACUUCACUAAUAACCGAUAUCCUUUACUGAUAUUGACUGAAGUACUGCUGCCAUAUUGCAGCCAACUCAUCCAAAUCUGAUAAUUUGAUGUCCUACAUUAAGAACAAAUUAAGUUCAGCCAUUAUCAUUUAAUUAGAACAACAUGAGAUAAGGCUUCCGAUCCAUUGGAUUAAGUGACAGCUCCACUUCUGGGAACUGCACCUUCGUAGUGAUUUAUCGAAUUUCAAAUGCAUUGAGCUAAGAACUAGAUCCAUUAGUCCAAGGCUCUCCAACCCUGUUCCUGGAGAGCUACCCUCCUGUAGGUUCACACUCCAACCCUGUUCCUGGAGAGCUACCCUCCUGUAGGUUCACACUCCAACCCUGUUCCUGGAGAGCUACCCUCCUGUAGGUUCACACUCCAACCCUGUUCCUGGAGAGCUACCCUCCUGUAGGUUUUCACUCCAACCCUGUUCCUGGAGAGCUACCCUCCUGUAGGUUUUCAAUCCAACCUUAGUUGUAACUAACCUCAUUAACUUAUUAAGGAGGUAAUUAUUCCUACGUACAAAAUUAAUGAACGUGUUAAAUUAUUAUGUGACGUGGAGUCAUAUUCAGGUCCUGAUUGGUAAAGAAGCUUAUUUGACGUGUCAACUAGUGUUAUUUGAAGUGUAUCUUUUUGACACGCAAAGACCCAGACGGUUUUCCAUACUGAAUAGACAAGUGUAGUGUUUGUAACGCAAGAUUGAGGAGAGUCUGUCUUGUUAGAGAUCACUUUCAUUUUGGGAGAUUUCAAAAUAUGACCUUUUCAUUCAAGACAGGAUAAAUAUAUUGUUUCAGGUGUUAAUAAAACAUGUUUUGUUUAGUAACUUUUUUUCUCAACAUGUUUCUCUAACUUUAUAGCAACUGCAGAGCAACUAAUGUUAGCUAGCUAAAAGCUAGGUUGAAGACACAACUGUAGCUAGUGACCACCACAAUGAACUUAAACGGGAGGCAACAGUCAUAUAAUUGGCUUAGCAUUCAAUGUGUAAUAAUUAACAUUACCACUUAUAGUAAUGGGUAAAUGUUUACAAGUUGCUAGCGAUCCCAUAAAGCCAUCGCUGAAACCGACAUAUUUUCAUCUUCUGUGGUUUGGUAACUUCCUGUUCUUCGACGGGCUGGACUGAAGACGAUGCAAAGUUUGGAAGAUUUCAAAGUAUUCGGAGUCCGUCUCGGAAUAGAACCUUCAACCGCAAGGGGCCGUUGCGAUUCCACACCCUAUCUGGGAACCAUAAAUUACAUUGAUUUUUGGAAUAGGGGUUUGCUCCGUCCACUCCACUCAUCGACCUGGUAUUGCAGUACCUCUAGGCAGGGGCGCAACUUUCACUGUG